UACAGAGGUCCCAAGCGUUGUUCGGAUUCACUGGGCGUAAAGGGUGCGUAGGUGGCUUGGUAAGUUUGAUGUGAAAUCUCCGGGCUUAACCCGGAAAUGGCAUUGAAUACUAUUGAGCUGGAGGUUUGGAGGGGGGACUGGAAUUCUCGGUGUAGCAGUGAAAUGCGUAGAUAUCGAGAGGAACACCAGUGGCGAAGGCGAGUCCCUGGACAACACCUGACACUGAGGCACGAAAGCUAGGGGGAGCAAACAGG
rnacentral:rRNA from 1 species